GCAGCGAAGCCUUGAGGCCGCCUGAGCCUUUGUAAAGGAAAAUAUGGCAAUGGUAAUGAGGGUAUUUUCAGUGGGUUUAAGGUCUCAAUCUUUGAUCGUCCCUUACAAAUCACAACGCUCCUUUUUCUGCAACUCUUCUAAUCCUCUGCUUGUCAAGUUGCUUAGUCUACCGAUAUCCCAAAUCAAAUCUACUCUUGAUUCUCAACACCCUUUUACUCUCAAUCGUUUCGAAUUUUCUUGGGAUACCCUCGUUGCCAAUCUUUCAUCUUCCUCGCCUGAGAAAGCUCGAUUGGUGUUUUGAUGGAUCAUCUGGUGAACUUUUCUCUACUGGGUGUUUCAUUUUUCUUUUGCUGAAAGCUUAUAAUGAUUACUAUUUUUAAGAAUUAUUUUUAGGAUAUUAAUCUCCAUUUUUUUAGCUUUAUUGGCAUUUGGCAAACAGAAGAGAGUGUAAAAGUUAAGUUAGGUUGUGCUCAAUUGCUCAUAAAAACAUUGUUGGUUGAUUGCUCAGGUUUUAGAGUGGAGAUUGGAGAGAAUGCUCAAGGAUGAUGGGAUAGACCAUGAUCAGUACUCCGAUCUAAUAUCACUCUGUGCAAAUAUUCAAAAUUUUUCACUUGCAUUGCGGGUUUUUACUUCCAUGGAGGCUAGUGGAAUCAAACCCAGUGCUACUGAUUUCAAUUCCCUUAUACAUGCUUGCUUGUCCUCAACAAGUACUGUGAUAACUGCUCUUAGUUUGUUUCAGAUAAUGGAGAACUCUGAGGGAUAUAAACCUAAUUCUCAGACUUAUGAUACUUUUGUAUUGGGGUUUUCACAUUUAAGAGAUUUUGAUAAAAUGCAAGCAUGGUUUGCAGCAAAAAAGGCUGCUGGGUUCCCUGCAAAUCUACAGAACUAUGAAUCUGUCAUUUUUGCUUGUGUUAGGACAAAGGAUUUUGAUAGUGCUGAUAGAUUUUAUGAAGAAAUGGUAUCAGUGGGAGUUAUGCCUAGUGUGUGCAUAUUGGAAUAUGUGCUUGAAGGGCUUUGCAAACGCAGAAAGUGUGACCGUGUUAGAGAUUUUUUGAAUUUUUUGCUGGAAUGCAAGUUUGAGAUUUCAGGGAAUAUGAUUGAGAAGAUUGUGGAAUUGUAUUAUGAACUUGGGAAAGUGGACGAAAUGGAGAAGCUACUUGAAACUUUAAUGGAGUUAAAUCAAGUAGGUGAAGCUUUGUUGCGGUUGCACUGUGGACUUAUAAGAUUGUACGCCAAACUGGAUAGAUUGGAUGAUGUCGAAUACUCUGUGGGGAGGAUGAUGAGUCAAGAGAUGAUAUUUAGGAGCCCAGAUGAUGUUGAGAAGGUAAUUUCAUCGUACUUCAGGAAGGAAGCUUAUGACAGACUAGACUUGUUUAUGGAACAUAUUAAGGGUUAUUAUAAGCUCACAAGGUCGACUUAUGAUUUAUUAGUUGCUGGGUAUCGAAGGGCUGGAUUGACAGAGAAAUUGGAUUUGAUAGUGAAGGAUAUGAAAUUGGCUGGAUUUUAGUUUCUUGAAUUCAGUUGCUACCAAGCUAUAUGCUUAAAUAGUUGUGUUACCUUGGAAGGAUAAUACUGGCACAAUUGAGCCAACCUCUUUACUUGGGAAUGAAGUCUGAAGGUGGUUGAAUUUGGAAACAGUGAACAUUUACAAGCAUUGAUUAAGGAUAUGCUGCAAGCAUAUGAAAGCAGCACAUCGAUUGACAGGAAUUCCUCAAGUAGAGGGGAGGAAUCAUCUUCUUAGUCAAAAUAGAAUGAGGGGAUAUGAUCUACUUGAGAAACCUUAACGCCAGCAAGUCAAUGGAUUGAGUUUAUCUAACCACCAUAGUUUGGUUUUCACUGAGCCAUGGAAUCAAGGAUUAUCAGAAGAUUUUUAAGAUCUGUAAAAGCUUUUCAUUGAGGAUUUGUGCUGGUGCAGAUUACUUAAUGGUAUUGUUUAUUUCAUCUGUUUCAGUUGAAGUUAAUUGAUAAAAUUUUCUCCUCGGUUCCUGUCUAUGGAAGACAUUAAAACCCUGAUUAUUUCACUUAUCUUAGGGGUAUGUUUACGGUUGACAAGAUCCAAGCAAACGACAAUGUUCACCAUAUCAGUAGAAGGAAUAACAGAUGAGCACAUGCUUCGAAGCUCAUAUUUGAUGAAAAUAUGUUAUACUUUCCAAUGCCCAUCUCAUAAUCCGAAAUAUCAAAAUUUUAAGCUAUGGUUUUCUUGUCAAUUUUUUUUUAAUAACAAAAUUUUAAUAAUAAACAAUUUCUAGUAUCUUUUUACUCGUCUCUUUGGUGAAUAUUUGGCCUGUGAUCAGGGACAGAGGAUUGUUGCAGUGUUAGUUUAGUUUCACAGCUUAUUCAUGCGAGCAAGGGUUUUAGAGGGGCACAGAUACUGCCAUAAAAAACAUGCAAAAUCCACCAGUCAUAUGGUGACAGAAGCUGCCUGAGGAACUCUAUGAAGAAGCCACAUUGUUUAUUAUUUUCGACAGUAGUGGUUCUAUUAGUGGCUUGGAGGAUCACUGAUUGUCAUAGGAUCGAAUGCAACUAUGAAUUGCACCAACAAAAAUGUGGGUGAGUUAGAUCUACAAGUGUAUGCACACUCAAAAGCAACGCUUAAAUAAGCCCUUUCAGGAUAAUAUUCAAUAAUGCCUUAUGCACCGUCGGGAUCACAAGCAGUUUUAUGGUCAUUGCCACCCUCACCACGGUCGCUGCCACCGGCGGAACACAGUGCCAACCCACCAUCACCAUUGUCUCGAAUAACAUCAUUUGCAUCGUCACUAUCUCCAUACACCACUCCUGUUGGGGCUGCCCCGCCACCUGCAAAUUUAGUACCCCCAGUUGCCAUGCCACCACUGAAAUUUCCAGAACCUGCAUUUGCUCCUAUUAUAUCAGUCGCUGCUCCA
rnacentral:misc_RNA from 1 species